GCUAGUUUAAAUAAUAGAAUCAAUCAUGUGUGGUAUUGUAGCAUUGGACCCUAUCUGUCAUAUCUGACACUAUCAACUACUGCUAAGCAAAUUUUUUAAAAUAAGCAAAAUCACUCAUAUUUUAUUACAUAUUUAACUGAAUAUACACAUAUCAAUACGCUUAAAAUCUAAAAGAAAAAAAAUUGAAUGGAAAUAACAAUGUUUAAAAUUGAAGCUAAUUCUACAUUAUAAAAAUGAAAGAAAAAUGCUAAAUUAAAAAAGAUAAUAGCUUUGUGAAACAUAAGAAAUUCUUUUUUUUUAAUAAAUGGCUAGUAGUUUGUCUUAAAAAUUUAAGUGGUGAAAUUUCGAAGGGGUUGUUAAAAUUGAAACUAUUGUCAAAGUUUGGAAUCAAAUUUAUAAGAAAGCAAUCAAUAUGGUUUCAGUAGGAGGA
rnacentral:misc_RNA from 1 species